GCAUUGGUGGUUCAGUGGUAGAAUUCUCACCUGCCAUGCUGAGGCCUGGGUUCAAUUCACAGCCAAUGCA
rnacentral:tRNA from 1 species